rnacentral:rRNA from 1 species
GACGAACGCUGGCGGCGUGCUUAACACAUGCAAGUCGAACGGAAAGGCCCUGCUUUUGUGGGGUGCUCGAGUGGCGAACGGGUGAGUAACACGUGAGUAACCUGCCCUUGACUUUGGGAUAACUUCAGGAAACUGGGGCUAAUACCGGAUAGGAGCUCCUGCUGCAUGGUGGGGGUUGGAUAGUUUCGGCGGUUGGGGAUGGACUCGCGGCUUAUCAGCUUGUUGGUGGGGUAGUGGCUUACCAAGGCUUUGACGGGUAGCCGGCCUGAGAGGGUGACCGGCCACAUUGGGGCUGAGAUACGGCCCAGACUCCUACGGGAGGCAGCAGUGGGGAAUAUUGCACAAUGGGCGGAAGCCUGAUGCAGCAACGCCGCGUGCGGGAUGACGGCCUUCGGGUUGUAAACCGCUUUCGCCUGUGACGAAGCGUGAGUGACGGUAAUGGGUAAAGAAGCACCGGCUAACUACGUG